rnacentral:rRNA from 1 species
CGGGAUCCAUGUUGUAGCAAUACUUCGGAAGAUCUAGUGGCGAACGGGUGAGGAACACGUGAGAAACCUGCCCCGAACUUCGGGAUAACAGUUGGAAACGACUGCUAAUACCGAAUACCUCUGCGAAGUGGCAUCACUUUGCAAAGAAAGAAUUUCGGUUCGGGAGGGUCUCGCGGCCUAUCAGCUAGUUGGUGGGGUAACGGCCUACCAAGGCAUCGACGGGUAGCUGGUCUGAGAGGAUGAUCAGCCACACUGGGACUGAGACACGGCCCAGACUCCUACGGGAGGCAGCAGUGGGGAAUCUUGUGCAAUGGGCGAAAGCCUGACACAGCAACGCCGCGUGCGGGAAGAAGGCCUUCGGGUCGUAAACCGCUUUCAGCAGGAACGAAAAUGACGGUACCUGCAGAAGAAGGUGCGGCCAACUGCGUGCCAGCAGCCGCGGUGACACGUAGGCACCAAGCGUUGUCCGGAUUUAUUGGGCGUAAAGAGCUCGUAGGCGGUUCAGCAAGUCGGGUGUGAAAACUCUGGGCUUAACCCAGAGCCUGCACCCGAAACUGCUGUGACUAGAGUUCUGUAGGGGAGCGGGGAAUUCCUGGUGU